GACGUAGGGCGCGAGCGUUGUCCGGAUUUAUUGGGCGUAAAGAGCUCGUAGGUGGUUCGGUAAGUCGGGUGUUAAACCCCCAGGCUCAACCUGGGGACGCCACUCGAUACUGCCGUGACUAGAGUUCGGUAGGGGAGUGUGGAAUUCCUGGUGGAGCGGUGAAAUGCGCAGAUAUCAGGAGGAACACCCGUAGCGAAGGCGGCACUCUGGGCCGAUACUGACACUGAGGAGCGAAAGCGUGGGGAGCGAACAGG
rnacentral:rRNA from 1 species